CGCUUGCGAUGUGCCUAAGGUAUGCAAGUCGAACGAUUCCUGUAUCUUCGGAUACAGGGAGUGGCAAACGGCUGAGUAACGCGUAGGAACCUACCCCAAACUCGAGUAUAGCCCCGCGAAAGCGGGGGUAAUCCUCGAUAGUCCGUGAAGUAUUUUACUUCACGGUAAAGCUUUUGCGGUUUGGGAUGGGCCUGCGUCCUAUCAGGUAGUUGGUGAGGUAAGUGCUCACCAAGCCUAUGACGGGUAGCUGGUCUGAGAGGAUGGUCAGCCAGACUGGGACUGCGACACGGCCCAGACUCCUACGGGAGGCAGCAACUAGGAAUUGUGCGCAAUGGACGAAAGUCUGACGCCGCGACAUCGCGUGGAGGAUGAAGGUCUUCGGAUUGUAAACUCCUUUUCUUACCGAACAAGUUCUGAGUGUAGGUAAGGAAUAAGUGCCUGCUAACCACGUGCCAGAAGCAUCGGUAAUACGUGGGGCACGAGCGUUAUCCGGAUUUACUGGGCGUAAAGAGAAGCGUAAGCGGCUCGAUAAGUUUGGUGUUAAAUCUUCCGGCUCAACCGGAAACAAGCACCGAAAACUAUCGAGAUUGAGUCGAGUAGGGAAGAGGGGAAUUCCUGGUGGAGCGGUUAAAUGCGUAGAUAUCAGGAGGAAUACCAAGGGCGAAGGCACCUCUUUGGACUCGUACUGACGCUGAGGCUCGAAAGCGUGGGUAGCAAAACGGAUUAGAUACCCGUGUAGUCCACGCCGUAAACGAUCCCUGUUAGAUGU
rnacentral:rRNA from 1 species